CCUACGGGUGGCAGCAGUGAGGAAUAUUGGUCAAUGGGCGUAAGCCUGAACCAGCCAAGCCGCGUGAGGGAUGAAGGUUCUAGGGAUCGUAAACUUCUUUUAUAAGGGAAUAAAGUGUGGGACGUGUCCUAUUUUGUAUGUACCUUAUGAAUAAGGAUCGGCUAACUCCGUGCCAGCAGCCGCGGUAAUACGGAGGAUCCGAGCGUUAUCCGGAUUUAGAGGGUUUAAAGGGUGCGUAGGUGGCCUUUUAAGUCAGCGGUGAAAGUCUGUGGCUCAACCAUAGAAUUGCCGUUGAAACUGGGUGGCUUGAGUGUGUUUGAGGCAGGCGGAAUGCGUGGUGUAGCGGUGAAAUGCUUAGAUAUCACGCAGAACCCCGAUGGCGAAGGCAGCCUGCCAAGCCAUGACUGACGCUGAUGCACGAAAGCGUGGGGAUCAAACAGGAUUAGAUACCCCAGUAGUC
rnacentral:rRNA from 1 species